UGAGCAAUCUGCCCUUCACAUCGGAAUAACCAUUGGAAACGAUGGCUAAUACCGAAUAUGACUUCGGAUCGCAUGAUCUGAAGUGGAAAGCUCCGGCGGUGAAGGAUGAGCUCGCGGCCCAUCAGCUUGUUGGUGAGGUAAUAGCUCACCAAGGCGAUGACGGGUAGCCGGCCUGAGAGGGUGACCGGCCACACUGGGACUGAGACACGGCAGA
rnacentral:rRNA from 1 species